rnacentral:rRNA from 1 species
GUCUACGGCCACACCACACUGAACACGCCCAAUCUUGUCUGAUCUCGGAAGCUAAGUAGGGUCGAGCCUUGUUAGUACUUGGGAUGGGAGAAAUAAGAGAACAGAGAAAAGCAAAGAUG